rnacentral:rRNA from 1 species
AGAGUUUGAUCCUGGCUCAGGAUGAACGCUAGCGACAGGCUUAACACAUGCAAGUCGAGGGGCAGCGGGGUGUAGCAAUACACCGCCGGCGACCGGCGCACGGGUGAGUAACGCGUAUGCAACUUACCUAUCAGAGGGGGAUAACCCGGCGAAAGUCGGACUAAUACCGCAUGAAGCAGGGGCCCCGCAUGGGGAUAUUUGCUAAAGAUUCAUCGCUGAUAGAUAGGCAUGCGUUCCAUUAGGCAGUUGGCGGGGUAACGGCCCACCAAACCGACGAUGGAUAGGGGUUCUGAGAGGAAGGUCCCCCACAUUGGUACUGAGACACGGACCAAACUCCUACGGGAGGCAGCAGUGAGGAAUAUUGGUCAAUGGGCGUAAGCCUGAACCAGCCAAGUCGCGUGAGGGAUGAAGGUUCUAUGGAUCGUAAACCUCUUUUAUAAGGGAAUAAAGUGCGGGACGUGUCCCGUUUUGUAUGUACCUUAUGAAUAAGGAUCGGCUAACUCCGUGCCAGCAGCCGCGGUAAUACGGAGGAUCCGAGCGUUAUCCGGAUUUAUUGGGUUUAAAGGGUGCGUAGGCGGCCUUUUAAGUCAGCGGUGAAAGUCUGUGGCUCAACCAUAGAAUUGCCGUUGAAACUGGGGGGCUUGAGUAUGUUUGAGGCAGGCGGAAUGCGUGGUGUAGCGGUGAAAUGCUUAGAUAUCACGCAGAACCCCGAUUGCGAAGGCAGCCUGCCAAGCCAUGACUGACGCUGAUGCACGAAAGCGUGGGGAUCAAACAGGAUUAGAUACCCUGGUAGUCCACGCAGUAAACGAUGAUCACUAGCUGUUUGCGAUACACUGUAAGCGGCACAGCGAAAGCGUUAAGUGAUCCACCUGGGGAGUACGCCGGCAACGGUGAAACUCAAAGGAAUUGACGGGGGCCCGCACAAGCGGAGGAACAUGUGGUUUAAUUCGAUGAUACGCGAGGAACCUUACCCGGGUUUGAACGCAUUCGGACCGAGGUGGAAACACCUUUUCUAGCAAUAGCCGUUUGCGAGGUGCUGCAUGGUUGUCGUCAGCUCGUGCCGUGAGGUGUCGGCUUAAGUGCCAUAACGAGCGCAACCCUUGCCACUAGUUACUAACAGGUGAUGCUGAGGACUCUGGUGGGACUGCCAGCGUAAGCUGCGAGGAAGGCGGGGAUGACGUCAAAUCAGCACGGCCCUUACAUCCGGGGCGACACACGUGUUACAAUGGCGUGGACAAAGGGAUGCCACCUGGCGACAGGGAGCGAAUCCCCAAACCACGUCUCAGUUCGGAUCGGAGUCUGCAACCCGACUCCGUGAAGCUGGAUUCGCUAGUAAUCGCGCAUCAGCCAUGGCGCGGUGAAUACGUUCCCGGGCCUUGUACACACCGCCCGUCAAGCCAUGGGAGCCGGGGGUACCUGAAGUCCGUAACCGCGAGGAUCGGCCUAGGGUAAAACUGGUGACUGGGGCUAAGUCGUAACAAGGUAGCCGUACCGGAAGGUGCGGCUG